UACGAAGGGGGCUAGCGUUGUUCGGAAUUACUGGGCGUAAAGCGCACGUAGGCGGGUUGUUAAGUCAGGGGUGAAAUCCUGGAGCUCAACUCCAGAACUGCCUUUGAUACUGGCAACCUAGAGACUGGAAGAGGUUAGUGGAAUUCCCAGUGUAGAGGUGAAAUUCGUAGAUAUUGGGAAGAACACCAGUGGCGAAGGCGGCUAACUGGCUCAUUACUGACGCUCAGGCGCGAUAGCGUGGGGAUCAAACAGG
rnacentral:rRNA from 1 species